CUCUAUUUUGGUCAUUGGGUCCGUGGCUGUGAUACUGGCAUUGAUUGGAACCCUGCUUUACUUCUUUCUUCGAGCCCGUCGUCGGAGGGAGAGGAUGUCUACUCAGACCAUAAACACACCUACGUUAUAUGAGAAUCUUCCCCCGCCUGGACAGAUCAAGGCUGGAAAUGCCUCUGCUGACAACAACAUAUACCAGUCCCUGCAGCCAGAAAGCCAAAACGUAUAUGAAGAACUGAUGAGGUAACAGGUGAACCCAUUAACUACUAACCUCUCCUAAC